CAGCCGCCGCGGGAACACGUAGGGCGCAAGCGUUGUCCGGAAUUAUUGGGCGUAAAGAGCUCGUAGGCGGUCUGUCGCGUCUGGUGUGAAAUCCCGAGGCUCAACCUCGGGCUUGCAUCGGGUACGGGCAGACUAGAGUGCGGUAGGGGAGACUGGAAUUCCUGGUGUAGCGGUGGAAUGCGCAGAUAUCAGGAGGAACACCGAUGGCGAAGGCAGGUCUCUGGGCCGCAACUGACGCUGAGGAGCGAAAGCAUGGGGAGCGAACAGGAUUAGAACCCCCGUAGUCCCUGUCUUUUAUACA
rnacentral:rRNA from 1 species